ensembl:lncRNA
GUUGAUAGCAGCAUGUGUGUAUAUUUAUUAGCCAAGGCGAAGGAUUUUGCUUUGCAUCAUGCAGUGAAGGCUGUGCUCGGCUAGGCUUGUGUGUGUUUACUGGCACAUCGCUGCCAAAGCCGGUUAUCUCCAUCACGACCAAGGAGGCACCACAAACAGUGGCCGAGAUGUGACCGCUCUGCUCUUUCUUCUUACUAAAAUGGCAUUUAACAAAUAGACACGAUUUAUUUUCGGCAUCACGUUCUUUCUUUCAGACUUUGGUAAAUAUCAACUCGUUCCUAAUAAUGCAAUGAAUUAUUAAAUGCAGAAUCUGAAAUGAUCAUGUGACACGGGGACAUCUUGUCCAUUAAAAGUGAAACUAAAAUCUUUACCAUAGAAGGUCAUAAGGUCAUGUCCAGCUACAUAAAAUUCCUUGCCUACCGACGAUUAGAUAAGCAAUUAACAUGACUAAAUGGUGACAACAGUUUUAUCUUUUUAUGCAUCUGCUUAUGGAUGUGAAUACGAUGCCUCAAUUUGAAAUGGUUAUGUUUUGCUACUAUUUACGAAACCAGAGAAUAAAAGCAUCCUUCUCUGUCCAGUUGCCUUAAAACAAGAGCGUCCCAUCUUAUCCAGAAAGGGCCGGUGCGGCUCCUGCUGGACCGGAAUGAAACCCUGCACCCACACCGACCCUUUCUGGAUAAGAUGGGACACCCCUGCCUUAAAGCACUUACGACUGAAUUCCCCAAAAAGCAUCACAAAGUUAAUAUCAUCUUGACUAAGCAAGAGAGUGUUCUGUGUGAUGUGCGCUCUACCAUUUAACCAUUGCGUUGUGAUGUUUCUGGGAAACUCGACCCUGCUUGCAUAGUUGACAUUUUUCCUUGUGGGAACGUCAUUAAUCAGACCAAAGACAGCACAGCUAUGCUGUAAAUAAUAAACGCAAAAUUAAGUAUAUGUAGUUCUACUCUCAUUGGUUCCUGACGUUCCAGAAACACUGUAUAAUCGCGUGUCGAAUUAUCGUCAGGGAAAACGUGGAAAAAUCAAGAACCUUAAAUGAUUUUCACUCUGUGUUUCUAUAAAUCCAGGAUUUUAUAAAAUAACUUUUUGUCAGUAUGGACAUACACUGUAUUCCCA